UACGGAGGGUGCAAGCGUUAUCCGGAUUUAUUGGGGUUAAAGGGUCCGUAGGCGGUCUCGUAAGUCAGUGGUGAAAUCUCAUAGCUUAACUAUGAAACUGCCAUUGAUACUGCGGGUCUUGAGUAAGGUAGAGGUAGCUGGAAUAAGUAGUGUAGCGGUGAAAUGCAUAGAUAUUACUUAGAACACCAAGUGCGAAGGCAGGUUACCAUGUCUUAACUGACGCUGAUGGACGAAAGCGUGGGGAGCGAACAGG
rnacentral:rRNA from 1 species